rnacentral:rRNA from 1 species
CCUCCAGACUCCUACGGGAGGCAGCAGUGGGGAAUAUUGCACAAUGGGGGAAACCCUGAUGCAGCGACGCCGCGUGAGCGAUGAAGUAUUUCGGUAUGUAAAGCUCUAUCAGCAGGGAAGAAAAUGACGGUACCUGACUAAGAAGCCCCGGCUAACUACGUGCCAGCAGCCGCGGUAAUACGUAGGGGGCAAGCGUUAUCCGGAUUUACUGGGUGUAAAGGGAGCGUAGACGGCCGUUCAAGCCAGAUGUGAAAGCCCGGGGCUCAACCCCGGGACUGCAUUUGGAACUGUGGGGCUAGAGUGUCGGAGAGGCAGGCGGAAUUCCUAGUGUAGCGGUGAAAUGCGUAGAUAUUAGGAGGAACACCAGUGGCGAAGGCGGCCUGCUGGACGAUGACUGACGUUGAGGCUCGAAAGCGUGGGGAGCAAACAGGAUUAGAUACCCUUGUAU